GUACUCCCCCAGCUGAAGCAUCUGGCUUUGAGCUGAGCCAGCUCAACCACCAUUUUCAUUUUUCAGUUAUCAGUUAUCCAUCCCCACAUAGAAUCUCCACAUUCUCGUAUGUAUGAUAUGUAUAUACUAUAUAUAGGCUUAUAGCCCUUCGGAAACUGUACUCUCACGAACCCCAGUCAUGAAAAAGCAGCAUAGUACAAUGAUCGCCAACCCAUUUGAUCUCCUCACCGAGGAGAUCGUUUUCGCAAUCCUCGACCGGAUAAACGAUGAUGCAUUGACCAAGAAGUCCUUCUCUCGAGUCUGCAAGGCCUUCUACACCAUCGAGUCCCGCCACCGCAGAACUCUGAGGGCUCUGCGGUCCGACCUAAUACUAAGAGCGCUGAAACGGUACCGUUCUAUCUCCCACCUCGACCUCUCCCUCUGCCCUCGCGUAGACGACGCGACGUUGACCCAAGUAGCGUUCGCGACGGCGGGUCGUUUGCGCUCGAUCGACUUGUCGAGGUCGAGGGUCUUCACGCACCUGGGGCUGGCGAGCCUGGUGGGGACCUGUGCGGGGCUGGUGGAGAUCGACCUGUCCAACCGGACGGAGCUGGGCGACUCGGCGGUUAAGGCUAUAGCGGAGGCGAAGAACCUGGAGAGGCUGUGGCUGGCGAGGUGUAAAAUGGUGACGGACAUGGGGAUUGGGUGCGUGGCUGUGGGGUGUAGGAAGCUGAGGUUGGUGUGCUUGAAGUGGUGCCUGCGGGUGAGCGAUUUGGGGGUGGGCUUGAUCGCUAUGAAGUGCAAGGAGAUUCGGAGUUUGGAUCUCUCUUACUUGCCGAUCACUGAGAAAUGUCUUUCACCAAUCAUGCAACUAGAGCAUCUUGAAGAUUUGGUUCUUGAGGGAUGCCCUGGUAUGGAUGAUGAUGGCCUUGCAACCCUCAAACAUAGUUGCAAAUCGCUAAAGUCGCUAAAUAUGUCAAAUUGUCCGAAUGUCAGUCAUGUGGGUUUGUCUUCUCUGACAAAUGGCGCUGAUGGCCUACAGCAGCUUAUCCUAACAUAUGGUCCUGCUGUCACCAAUGAUCUAGCACAAUGUAUGCAUAGUAUUUCGGGAUUGCAAUCAAUUAAGUUAGAUGGUUGUUCGGUUACAACCUCUGCAAUAAAAGGAAUUGGAAAUUGGCUUGCCUCACUGAAGGAGCUUAGCUUAAGUAAGUGUUCAGGUGUGACUGAUGAAUGUCUGUCCUUCCUCUUGCAAACACACAAAGAAUUGAGGAAGUUAGACAUCACAUGCUGCCGCAAGAUAACAUAUGCCUCUAUAGACAGCAUAACAAAUUCAUGCACCUCCCUCACUUCUUUGAGGAUGGAGUCUUGUAGUUUGGUUUCAAAGGAUGCUUUUAAGUUGAUUGGACAGCGUUGCCGACUCUUGGAGGAAUUGGACGUUACAGAUAAUGAUAUUGACAAUGAAGGUUUGAAGUCCAUAUCAAGAUGUUCCAAACUUCUUACCUUGAAGCUUGCGAUUUGCUUGAACUUAACUGAUGAUGGGCUUACCCAUGUUGCAAAUGGUUGUUCCAUGCUCAAAGAACUGGAUCUGUACAGAUCCUCUGGAAUAACUGAUGCGGGCAUAGCAGCAAUUGCUCAUGGCUGUCCUGCACUGGAGAUGAUUAACAUUGCCUAUAAUGAUAAAAUUACCGACAAUUCGUUAACUUCUUUGUCAACAUGUCUGAUGUUAAAAGCACUUGAGAUCCGAGGAUGUCCUUCCGUCUCAUCAAUGGGUCUAUCAGCUAUUGCCAUGGGAUGUAGGCAACUUAUGGUGCUGGACAUCAAGAAGUGUGUCAACAUUAAUGAUAAUGGAAUGAUUCCACUUGCUCAAUUUUCCCAAAACCUCAAACAGAUAAACUUGUCAUAUUGUGCAAUUACAGAUGCAGGGCUCUUGGCUCUCGCCAGCACAAACCGGCUACAGAACAUGACUAUCUUGCACUUGGCUGGUUUGACCCCUAACGGUCUGGCCGCUGCCUUGUUGUCCUGUCAAGGGCUAACAAAAGUCAAGCUCCACAAAUCCUUUAAACCAUUACUUCAUCAAUCUAUUUUUGAAUUCAUGGAAGCGCGUGGCUGUAUCUUUCACUGGAGGGACAAAGCAUUCCGGGUUGAAAUAGAUCCAAAAGGAUGGGAGUUGCAUAAUGGAAGGAGUCCUGAAGCUCCAUAGAUUGGAGAGGAAAAUAGACUUGUUUAUAUCACUGUUUUCGAUCUCGAUCUGUGCACAGUGCCUGCAGCGUGGAUUCCGGAAUUUUAUUUUUCAUUCGUGUGUUGAUUAUUGAAAAGCUGUCUGCUUGGACGAUUUAGCUGACUGCAUGAGGUUGAGCCCAUAUCUUAGACCAGCCAAGGGGAAGUCAAGGUUAGGCAAGAGCUCCAUUAAUUAGGUUCAGGCUUUGGCUCAGCUCAGUUCAGGUGUGAAAAAACUGAAAACUGGCUUCAUAUGGGCUUAUU